rnacentral:rRNA from 1 species
AGAAUGAACCGGCGAGUUACGAUUUGAUGCAAGGUUAAGCAGUAAAUGUGGAGCCGUAGCGAAAGCGAGUCUGAAUAGGGCGUUUAGUAUUUGGUCGUAGACCCGAAACCAGGUGAUCUACCCUUGGUCAGGUUGAAGUUCAGGUAACACUGAAUGGAGGACCGAACCGACUUACGUUGAAAAGUGAGCGGAUGAACUGAGGGUAGCGGAGAAAUUCCAAUCGAACCUGGAGAUAGCUGGUUCUCUCCGAAAUAGCUUUAGGGCUAGCCUCAAGUGAUGAUUAUUGGAGGUAGAGCACUGUUUGGACGAGGGGCCCCUCUCGGGUUACCGAAUUCAGACAAACUCCGAAUGCCAAUUAAUUUAACUUGGGAGUCAGAACAUGGGUGAUAAGGUCCGUGUUCGAAAGGGAAACAGCCCAGACCACCAGCUAAGGUCCCAAAAUAUAUGUUAAGUGGAAAAGGAUGUGGCGUUGCCCAGACAACUAGGAUGUUGGCUUAGAAGCAGCCAUCAUUUAAAGAGUGCGUAAUAGCUCACUAGUCGAGUGACACUGCGCCGAAAAUGUACCGGGGCUAAACAUAUUACCGAAGCUGUGGAUUGUCCUUUGGACAAUGGUAGGAGAGCGUUCUAAGGGCGUUGAAGCAUGAUCGUAAGGACAUGUGGAGCGCUUAGAAGUGAGAAUGCCGGUGUGAGUAGCGAAAGACGGGUGAGAAUCCCGUCCACCGAUUGACUAAGGUUUCCAGAGGAAGGCUCGUCCGCUCUGGGUUAGUCGGGUCCUAAGCUGAGGCCGACAGGCGUAGGCGAUGGAUAACAGGUUGAUAUUCCUGUACCACCUAUAAUCGUUUUAAUCGAUGGGGGGACGCAGUAGGAUAGGCGAAGCGUGCGAUUGGAUUGCACGUCUAAGCAGUAAGGCUGAGUAUUAGGCAAAUCCGGUACUCGUUAAGGCUGAGCUGUGAUGGGGAGAAGACAUUGUGUCUUCGAGUCGUUGAUUUCACACUGCCGAGAAAAGCCUCUAGAUAGAAAAUAGGUGCCCGUACCGCAAACCGACACAGGUAGUCAAGAUGAGAAUUCUAAGGUGAGCGAGCGAACUCUCGUUAAGGAACUCGGCAAAAUGACCCCGUAACUUCGGGAGAAGGGGUGCUCUUUAGGGUUAACGCCCAGAAGAGCCGCAGUGAAUAGGCCCAAGCGACUGUUUAUCAAAAACACAGGUCUCUGCUAAACCGUAAGGUGAUGUAUAGGGGCUGACGCCUGCCCGGUGCUGGAAGGUUAAGAGGAGUGGUUAGCUUCUGCGAAGCUACGAAUCGAAGCCCCAGUAAACGGCGGCCGUAACUAUAACGGUCCUAAGGUAGCGAAAUUCCUUGUCGGGUAAGUUCCGACCCGCACGAAAGGCGUAACGAUUUGGGCACUGUCUCAACGAGAGACUCGGUGAAAUCAUAGUACCUGUGAAGAUGCAGGUUACCCGCGACAGGACGGAAAGACCCCGUGGAGCUUUACUGUAGCCUGAUAUUGAAAUUCGGCACAGCUUGUACAGGAUAGGUAGGAGCCUUUGAAACGUGAGCGCUAGCUUACGUGGAGGCGCUGGUGGGAUACUACCCUAGCUGUGUUGGCUUUCUAACCCGCACCACUUAUCGUGGUGGGAGACAGUGUCAGGCGGGCAGUUUGACUGGGGCGGUCGCCUCCUAAAAGGUAACGGAGGCGCUCAAAGGUUCCCUCAGAAUGGUUGGAAAUCAUUCAUAGAGUGUAAAGGCAUAAGGGAGCUUGACUGCGAGACCUACAAGUCGAGCAGGGUCGAAAGACGGACUUAGUGAUCCGGUGGUUCCGCAUGGAAGGGCCAUCGCUCAACGGAUAAAAGCUACCCCGGGGAUAACAGGCUUAUCUCCCCCAAGAGUUCACAUCGACGGGGAGGUUUGGCACCUCGAUGUCGGCUCAUCGCAUCCUGGGGCUGUAGUCGGUCCCAAGGGUUGGGCUGUUCGCCCAUUAAAGCGGUACGCGAGCUGGGUUCAGAACGUCGUGAGACAGUUCGGUCCCUAUCCGUCGUGGGCGUAGGAAAUUUGAGAGGAGCUGUCCUUAGUACGAGAGGACCGGGAUGGACAUACCUCUGGUGUACCAGUUGUCGUGCCAACGGCAUAGCUGGGUAGCUAUGUGUGGACGGGAUAAGUGCUGAAAGCAUCUAAGCAUGAAGCCCCCCUCAAGAUGAGAUUUCCCAACUUCGGUUAUAAGAUCCCUCAAAGAUGAUGAGGUUAAUAGGUUCGAGGUGGAAGCAUGGUGACAUGUGGAGCUGACGAAUACUAAUCGAUCGAAGACUUAAUCAAAAUAAAUGUUUUGCGAAGCAAAAUCACUUUUACUUACUAUCUAGUUUUGAAUGUAUAAUUUACAUUCAUAUGUCUGGUGACUAUAGCAAGGAGGUCACACCUGUUCCCAUGCCGAACACAGAAGUUAAGCUCCUUAGCGUCGAUGGUAGUCGAACUUACGUUCCGCUAGAGUAGAACGUUGCCAGGCAAAAAGUGGAUGCGAUGAGCCGCAUUGAGACCGCAAGGUCUCUUUUUUUAUGUCUAAAACGUCAAAAUAAAAGCAAACACAAAGAAAGAUGGCUUGGCGAAGUGAAAACGUUUGAAUCUGACGAAACGAGAAAUGUAAAGUAUAAUAAAAAGCAGUCAUAAGAUGAUUUCAAUUAGAAAUCAAUUUAUGACUGUUUUUCUUACUAUGUGUUAAAUUAACAAUGAAUAUAACAUCUUAUUUUCAUUAAUAUAAAUAUUGGAAGGAUCGAAAUGAUUUACACGUUGUUUGAGUUGUAUUAAAUCAUCAUGAUCUUUAAGUUGAAUACCAAUAAUGACAGUACCUGUAUUUUGAGAAGAUUUUUUUAAGUAUUCAAAUUUAGUAAUAUCGUCUUGAGGUCCUAAUACGUCAUUUACAAAUUCUCUCAAUGCA